GCGCACGGGACAUUUUUAGAAAAAACGAAUGAUGACUAGCCUGCGAGUCUUUGUAGUAUACAAGGCAGACGGCUCAGUAACACGUAGCCAAUCUAACCUAUGGAUGGGGAUAACCUCGGGAAACUGAGAAUAAUACCCAAUAGAUCAUUAUGCCUGGAAUGGUUUAUGAUUAAAAUGAUUUUUCGCCAUAGGAUGGGACUGCGAUCUAUCAGCUUGUUGGUGAGGUAAUGGCCCACCAAGGCUAUUACAGAUACGGGCUCUGAGAGGAGAAGCCCGGAGAUGGGUACUGAGACACGGACCCAGGCCCUAUGGGGCGCAGCAGGCGAGAAAACUUUGCAAUGUGCGAAAGCACGACAAGGUUAAUCCGAGUGUUUUCUGCUAAAGAAAUCUUUUGUCAGUCCUAAAAACACUGAUGAAUAAGGGGUGGGCAAGUUCUGGUGUCAGCCGCCGCGGUAAAACCAGCACCUCAAGUGGUCAGGAGGAUUAUUGGGCCUAAAGCAUCCGUAGCCGGCUGUGUAAGUUUUCGGUUAAAUCUAUAUGCUCAACAUAUAGGCUGCCGAGAAUACUGCACAGCUAGGGAGUGGGAGAGGUAGACGGUACUCGGUAGGAAGGGGUAAAAUCCUUUGAUCUAUUGAUGACCACCUGUGGCGAAUGCGGUCUACCAGAACACGUCCGACGGUGAGGGAUGAAAGCUGGGGGAGCAAACCGGAUUAGAUACGCGGGUAGUCCCAGCUGUAAACUAUGCAGACUCAGUGAUGCAUUGGCUCGUGGCCAAUGCAGUGACGCAAGGAAGCCGUUAAGUUUGCCGCCUGGGAAGUACGUACGGCAGUAUGAAACUCAAUGAAUUGACGGAAUCACU
rnacentral:rRNA from 1 species